rnacentral:misc_RNA from 1 species
GAAGUGGGCGGGUGAGCAAGUUGAAGCAACUACUACAACAUAAAAUUUUAAAAGUUGAAUUGACACGGGAUUUUAAGAGUGCAUUUACGAUACUAAUGACAUAUUAAAGAUUUGUGAAACAAAGUGUAGAAAGUGACACGGGAUUUUCUAAGUGUUUCCAAGGGUAGUGACAACAGCAAGACUACGCCGGUGUUUGUUCGUCUCCAAAUCAUCUUAUAUCGGGAUUGGUACGCCACAAAACAGAACCAUGCAGAGUAUCCCACACCACGGAGGAGCUGGUGUUCGAGUGGGACCCCGUGGUGCCCCUGGACGUGGACCCCACCAUAGAACUCCCCCAGAAGGACAUCAGGAAUUACACCUCAGACUGCACUCAGGUGUACUCCACAGAUGAGCGUAACUUCACAUGCCUGGAGGUGGUGUUCACGCUGAAGAGAUGUCUCGGGUACUACGUCUUCCAUACCUACAUUCCAACCUGCCUCGUCGUUAUUAUGUCUCCUGAGAUCGCCCCAGCCUGCGUGACUCUGGGUGUGACUUCCCUCCUGACGCUCUUCACGCAACAGGCCAAGUCUCAAGCUUCCUUACCGCUGGUCUCCUACAUUAAAACCAUUGAUAUAUUCAUGUCAUCCUGUACCGUGUUUGUGUUCAUGGUGCUUAUUGAGUACGCCGUGGUGAACAUUAUCCUGGGUGACGGCUCAGGGGACGCGGCGAAAUGCCCUGCGAAGCCUGAACCCAAGCCCAGCAAAGCAACUGACCAAGUACCUGGGUGUUCAGAUGAGCUUUAGGAAGUCUCUUCAAGCCGUCCACUAUGUUCGAGUCCUCUGUCUGCCACGGCUAGCACCACUUCGGCUGCUAGCCAACAGGGGCCUUGGGGCGGGCA